UGUCCUUUAGCCAUGCAGGAUUCAGCACAAUGGGCUUCUGUCUCAGGACUGCAUUCCUGGAUCUAUGCAGAAGGAAAGAAAAAUAGGAUUUAGAGAAGUUAGAAGCUAAGAAGUUAUGAAAUGAGAUGAAAGAAUCCCAUGUCAGAAAUGAACUUUCCUCCUCUGCUCUUUGCUUGCCUCCACUGUCAUAUGAACUAAAUAGGAUGAAAAAAUAUUUGUGAAACAUGAAGGAGUCAGUGACCUACCAGAUGAAGUGAUCAUUCCAUGUAUAUUGAAGAAGCUAUGUUAGCUGCUUUAAACUCUCUGGCUGGGAAGCUGAACAUGAGCCAGCAAUGUAGCCCAAAAAUCCAACCAUAUCCCGGGCUUCAUCAAAAGCAGUGCAUCCAGCAGGUCAAGGGAGGUGAUUCUGCCCCCAACUCUGCACAGGUGAGGCCUCAACUGGAGUACUGAAUCCAGAUGUGGAGUUCUCAGUACAGGAAAUACAAUACAAUACAAAAAGACGUGUUGAUGAGCAUCCAGAGAAGGGUCAUAGAAAUGAUGCACAGAAUGGAACACCUCUCCUAUGAGAACAGACUGAGAGCUGGGGAAGAGGCUGCAAGGUGACCUGAUAGCAGCCUUUCAGUAUCUAAAGGGGUGACCUCAUUGCAGCCUUUCAGUACCUGAAGGGUACCUAUAAUCAGGAGGAGAGUAAACUCUUUGAAAUGGCCGAUAAUAAUAGGACAAGGGGAAAUGGUUGAAAGAGGGAAGAUUUAGGUUGAAUUUUAGGGGGAAGUUCUUUACUAGGAGAGUGGUGAGGUCCUGGAACAGGCUGCUCAGGGAUGCUGUGGAUGCCCCAUCCCUGAAGGUGUUCAAGGCCAGGUUGGAUGAGGCCCUGGGCAACCUGAUCUAGUAAACAUGGAAGUUUGGUGGCUCUUCCAGGCAGGGGGGUUGGAGCUUCAUGAUCCUUGAGGUCUCUUCCAACUUGAGUCAUUCUGUGAUUCUGUGACCAGGUAGGACAAAGAUGUUUUGCGCAGUUAGCUGGCCAGGUUGAUUAACAGAGCUUUAAACAAGAUCUGAUGAGGGAAACGGAUAUGGACUGAAACACUAUAGUGGACAGUGGAAAAAGAAUUCAGACAUUCAAUGUUUUGAAUAUAACUACAUAAAAGUCAUGAGAAUUAUGUGAAGGGUGUAAUACUGGGUGAUCUUGUGCAGAUUUUUUAUUUCAAAUACAUAUAUAUGAUUUGUUGUGCAUUGUUUCUUAAUGUAGAUCUCAUUUAUGCUGUGCUACUUAACUUUUUGUCUCUUGCCACUUACCAACUAGGUCAUUCUGUAAAGUUCUGUGCCAAGAAUUUUGGGAAAAUAUGUUUUCCUCUCCGAGGAUUUAUAACAUAAUUCUGUCUCAUUAUGCCUGGUGUUUUUCUUCUCAUGUUGUGAUAUCCUCAAAGAAGCUUGUCUUCUUGACAAGAAUGCACAAACAGACUGAAAAAAUUAGUUGCAGCAAUUAGAAAAUUGGAUGAUGUCGAGCCACAUGCACUUUUGAAAUUAUCUUAGAAGAAAAGGGAACUGCUUAAAGAGUGUGUGAAGUUCCCUGUGAGCUAGAAAUGAUAAGAAUAAUCAUUACAAGUUUUGAGCUAUUCCAAUCUAAUCAAGCAACGAAUGUUUAUCAGAAAAGACUUUUCUUCAUAUCUCAUUCCUGCAUAGCUAGCACUGACCUUUAGUAACAUACGUUUUAGAAUAGAAGCAGAAGUUUGCAGAACUCAUGUGUGGUAGAAACUAAGAUAUUUAUGCAUUUUUAUUAGAACUGAGAGAAAUCCUGGAAUUUCCAUUUAAUUUUGUUUGCAGAUUCCUUCAGAAGAUGCUCUAACUUUACAUUAAAAUUGACUAUUUACUUAUUCUGUGUAGAUUAAAACAGCAAUAUAACAGUCUUGAUCUGCAUAUGGAUACUCAUCUUAGUGAUGAAAACUUCAGUUACCCCAGAAUAAUUCAAAAAUGACAAAGUUUUAAAGAAAACAUUGGAUGACUAUAAUUUGAUUGAUUACUAAUUAUUAUAAAUAAAUAAAUAGAAAACUGUUAAAGAGAUGUUUGC
ensembl:lncRNA